AUGGCUGUCGUCAGCUCGUGUCGUGAGAUGUUUGGUUAAGUCCAGCAACGAGCGCAACCCCUUUCCUUAGUUGCCAGCACAUUAUGGUGGGGACUCUAAGGAUACUGCCUGGGAUAACCAGGAGAAAGGUGGGGAUGAUGUCAAGUCAGUAUGUCCCUUUAUGUCCAGGGCUACACACGUGUUACAAUGGCUAGUACAAAGGGUUGCCAACCCGCGAGGGGGAGCCAAUCCCAAAAAACUAGCCCCAGUUCAGAUUGGAGUCUGCAACUCGACUCUAUGAAGGAGGAAUCGCUAGUAAUCGUGGAUCAGCACGCCACGGUGAAUACGUUCCCGGGUCUUGUACACACCGCCCGUCACGCCAUGGAAGUCAGCAGUACCCAAAGCAGGUCGCCUAACCUUCGGGAGGGAGCCUUUUAAGGUAAGGCUGGUAACUGGGGCGAAGUCGUAACAAGGUAGCCGUACCGGAAGGUGCGGCUGGAUCACCUCCUUUCUAAGGAGUAAUCCUGACUAUUAAAGUUGGGAUACGGUCGAACUCAAAGUUUUGGUCACGCAUACCAUUUAUUUUCGGGCUUGUAGCUCAGGUUGGUUAGAGCGCAUCCCUGAUAAGGAUGAGGUCCGUGGUUCGAGUCCACGCAGGCCCACUUGAGGAAAGCCGCUUUUAAAACCGGGGCUAUAGCUCAGUUGGGAGAGCGCCUGGUUUGCAACCAGGAGGUCGUCGGUUCGAUCCCGGCUAGCUCCACAAAAUUUUUUUUUGCUUUUUGACAAUUUGGAGAUGACGUAGGUAGCCUCGUUAUACGAAGAAAGGACUUUGAUAAAGUUACUAAGGGCGUACGGGGGAUGCCUAGGUACAUGGAGUCGAGGAAGGACGUGGUAAGCUGCGAUAAGCCUCGGGUAAGUGCAAACAACUAUAGAUCCGAGGAUUUCCGAAUGGGGAAACCCGG
rnacentral:sRNA from 1 species